UACGAAGGGGGCUAGCGUUGCUCGGAAUCACUGGGCGUAAAGGGUGCGUAGGCGGGUCUUUAAGUCAGGGGGGAAAUCCUGGAGCUCAACUCCAGAACUGCCUUUGAUACUGAGGAUCUUGAGUUCGGGAGAGGUGAGUGGAACUGCGAGUGUAGAGGUGAAAUUCGUAGAUAUUCGCAAGAACACCAGCGGCGAAGGCGGCUCACUGGCCCGAUACUGACGCUGAGGCACGAAAGCGUGGGGAGCAAACAGG
rnacentral:rRNA from 1 species